GUUCCUACGGGGGGCAGCAGUGAGGAAUAUUGGUCAAUGGGCGAGAGCCUGAACCAGCCAAGUCGCGUGAGGGAGUACUGCCCUAUGGGUUGUAAACCUCUUUUGUCAGGGAGCAACGCCGGCUACGUGUAGCCGGACUGGGAGUACCUGAAGAAAAAGCAUCGGCUAACUCCGUGCCAGCAGCCGCGGUAAUACGGAGGAUGCGAGCGUUAUCCGGAUUUAUUGGGUUUAAAGGGUGCGUAGGCGGAAUGCCAAGUCAGCGGUAAAAUCGCGGGGCUCAACCUCGCUCCGCCGUUGAAACUGGG
rnacentral:rRNA from 1 species